UCCCUCGCACAACCUUCCUCGUUCUCAGUUUAUUAGCUUCCUCAAUCCCCUCGCACAGCCGCCGCCGCCGACCCUCCCCUCGACCGUGGCGACGCUGGCGUCCCUCCUGUCGGUCGUGCCGCCGUCGCCUCAGACCGUCGCACAGCCGCAACCCCCUAUACUUUUUCUCGCCCCUUCCCUAAUCCAGUUCCCGUCCAAAGCCGCCGCCGCAAACUAGGGAUCCCGCCGGACCUCGCCGCCGCCACAAUCAAGGGAUCACGCCGGACCUCGCCGCCGCUGCAAUCAAGGGAUCCCGCCGGACUGCCGCCAGGUUUCUGGCCCGCCGCCAGGAGCCGCAGGAACUGCAAGCCAUCAGGUGCGGCGCGCCGAGCCCGCUGAAGCCUCCUCUGCCCCACCGCCCCCUGCAGCGCAUCCCUCCGUCGAGCAUCCGGUCAUACCGAGCAACGCCGCGGACCAGUCCGUAGGCAGGAUCUAUCUGGCUGACCUCAUUUGAGAUGCGGCUUAAGUAUUCCCACUGCGCGGGUUUGCACAUAUGAUACAUAGUUGGUUGAGCACAUCUUCUAGCCUCUUGUGAAUACAUCUGGGACAACGCUUCACAUCAGUCAAGAACUGCUAACCGUUGCGGCACGCCGAGCCGGCCGACAUCUCCCUGCCCCACCGCUCACUGCAGCGCCUCCCUCCGCCAAGCAGCCGGCGACGCCGAGCAACGCUGGCGAGCACUCCGUGGACAGGAAGAUAUGGCCAAUAUAAGUGCUGAGUGUAUGGCUGAGUACGACGACAUUGUCAGCAGGAUGUUUGAUAGCGAGGAAGAGGGUUUUGAGUUCUAUAACAAGUAUGCUCUUGAGAAAGGAUUUAGUGUGAGGAAAGGAUAUGUUGAGUGGGAUGAAGCGAACGAGAAGAUAAUUCUGAGGAAACUUGUCUGUAGUCGUGAAGGUUGCCGUGAAGAGAAGCACAUGAAGAGGAAGAGAGAAGAUAGGAAGAGGAAGCCACGGAAUAUCACUCGUGUAGGGUGUAAAGCGAAAUUUGUCAUUGCAAGAGUCGCGAAAACAGGGCGUUGGUUUGUGAAGGAUUUCAUCGAUGAACACAACCAUCCUUUGGCCCCAUGAGACCUUGCUUGCUUUUUGCGUUCCCACAGAAGAAUCAGUGACGAGCAGAAAGCGGACAUUAUAGAGAUGCAAAGUGUUGGAAUCCGGAAACACAAAAUCAUGGAUGUGUUGUGCAUGCAGUCCGGUGGAUAUGACCAUGUUGGAUGCAUGCUGAGGGACAUCUAUAACUUCUGUCAUCGCUACAAGCAGGAAACAGUCGCUGCCGGUGAUGCUCAGACGGUGAUCCGUCACAUGAUGGCGCGGCAAGAGAGAGACCCGGAUUAUUUCUUCAAAUACUUGGUUGAUAAAGAUGGGCAUCUGAAGGGAUUGUUCUGGUCCGAUACUCAAUCCCGCCUUGACUAUGAGGCUUUCGGCGAUGUUGUGGUUUUUGAUAGCACAUACAGGACCAAUAAGUACAAUCUGCCAUUUGUUCCAUUUGUCGGGUUGAAUCACCACCGUAGCACAGUUAUCUUUGGAUGCGGGAUAAUUUCUCAUGAAACUAACGAGGCGUAUGAGUGGAUGUUGCGGACAUUUUCUGAAGCCAUGUCGCAGAAGCAUCCGAUAUCUGUAAUCACUGACGGGGACCUUGCAAUGCAAAGAGCGAUCAGGGUGGUGUGGCCUGACUCAUACCACAGGCUGUGCGUAUGGCACAUUCAGCAGAACAUCGUACGCCAUCUGCAUGAUGAUGAGGUUAGGGAAGAAUUCAGAUCUUUCAUAUAUGACUUGUCUUCUAUUGAAGAGCAUGAGAGAAAAUGGAUAGAGUUCUUACGAAGGAAUGAAGUGACAAGUGAGGAGUCAUGGUUGCAUCAGAUGUAUCAGAUGAGGAAGUUGUGGUGUGCUCCAUACCUGGUGGGGCGCUGUUUCUUAGGAUUGAGCAGCAAUCAGCGGAGUGAGAGCCUAAAAUCCGUGCUACAUACACAUCUUGAGGGUAAGAUGACCUUGUUUGAUAUUUUAGAGCACCAUGAGCGUUGCCUUUCGGGGCGACGCUUGCACGAGGCGAUCCUAGACAUCGUGGCCUUGCAGUCCAUUCCAUUUACAGACGCUGAUGCUUCAAGUCUCGAGAAACAUGUUGCCCAGGUUUUCACGCCUUGUAUGUUUCAGUUGGUCAGAUGGAGCAUAAAUGCUGUCAGCAAAUGUGUUAUCAGCGAGAUACUAGAUGCAUGGGAGUUGACUACAUAUGUUGUGGCUAAGAUCGAUAAAAGAGAGAAGAAGUUUGAAGUGCGCUGUGAGAUGAAGGAAGGUUCUUUGUAUAGGAUAAGUUGUUCUUGUCGUAAGCUGGAAUGCUUGGGAACACCAUGCUCUCACAUAUUCUACAUCUUGGGAAUACGUCAAGUGGAAGUGCUGCCUAGGUGUUGUGUUCCCAUGAGGUGGACGAUGAGUGCGAAGUCUGCAUUCCCUCCGACCAGAAAGAGUGAGAUGUACGACUAUUCGGCAAGCCUUGUGAGGUACCGUGAGUUGCGGAAUUUGAGUCACGCAGCAUGUUUCCGGGCAUGUCAAUCUAGUGAGGAGUCUCAGCGUCUGAAGAUGAUUCUGAGUGAACAAGAUGGCAGCAAGGAAUCAAGCCGUGGUCAGGAGGAAUGCAUUAGGUUUGGUCCGGUGCUACCACAGACGACGGAAAUUGAUUGUGGAGAUUUGGAAAAGGUUCUAGACCCAGUGCAUGUGCAAGGCCGAGGUGCACCGAAGAAAAGGUUGCAGGCAAAGAUGAAGAAGCAAAGGUCAAAGAGGAAAUGUGGCUACUGUGGGGUGGAAGGUCAUGAUCGGCGUACAUGCAAUAAAUUGAAAGAGGAAAUGAUGGCAGCAAACUGUUAGCUACAACUCUCUGUACAAGGCCAUUGGCAAAAUGGACGUAGCUGCUGAGCCUCAAGAGAGUGAUGUUGUGUUGGUGGCGAAGUGGCCCAACCGCCUCUAUCCUAUGGUUGCCAUGUGAAGAAAAAGGAUAUGUGGGAGCUUUUGGAUGGAUAAAGGCUCCAGCAAGGAAGAGAAGAGAGCUGCAUUUCCUUACUUGCAAUUCUAGUAAUUAUCUUUGUUAUAACUUGUAGAGUGUACCCGCAAAAAAACUUGUAGAGUGUGAUGGAUUAAUUGGGAUGCUACGUAAUCAGAGUACGUACACUAUCAUAUGUAUCAUGACUGAUUACGACCAAGGUGUGCGUUCCAUGAACAAGACUCCCAUUUAUAUGUUUAUUAAUGAUAUUGUGUUGUGCUUGCUCUA